GAGUUUGAUCAUGGCUCAGAUUGAACGCUGGCGGUAUGCUUAACACAUGCAAGUCGAACGGUAACAGGAGAGAGCUUGCUCUUUUGCUGACGAGUGGCGGACGGGUGAGUAAUGCGUAGGAAUCUGCCUAGUAGUGGGGGACAAUGUGUGGAAACGCACGCUAAUACCGCAUACGCCCUACGGGGAAAGGCGGGGAGUCUUCGGACCUCGCGCUAUUAGAUGAGCCUACGUUA
rnacentral:rRNA from 1 species